CAACGGUGGCUCUUGGGAUCUCCCGACAAUGAGUUCGGUUGAUCUGCAGGGAAUUGAAUGGUUGUUCUUUGGUUGGCUCGUGGGUAUCUUCUGGUUUCAAAGAUUGACGGAUUUGGUGAAUCGAUUUGGUGAUUCAAAUCGGGAGAGGAUCUGCCUUUCCUUUUCUUUUCUGGAGUUUAUUUGUGUAGAAGAAGAGAUUUGGGAGAUCCUAUCUAACGGAUUCAAUUCAAUAUGGUGAAUCAAUAUAUUGGGUGAUUGUAUCGUCUCCUUUGAUCUUUUGCGAUUCAUCGCGAGGAUUUGGGGCCAUUCAAGUAUCCGGUGGUGUGGUUUUUGGAAUGUUGUAAUCAAAGGCAUUAUUCGUUUGUUUGAUUCUUCUCGAGACAACGGUGGCUAUAAUGGUGGUCUCGGUUCUUUUAGCUCUCUUGUAAAAAAGGGUGCCUCGGGGAAGAAGGUGGUGGAGCUGGGACAGAAGCGGAAGGUUAAGGUGCCAUUCUUCGACAAUGCUGCUCAGAUAGCCGGUUAUUCCCAAAACCGUUAUCGGUUGGUGCAUGAAUCCACGCAAACAGGACUUGAAGACACUACUCUUUAUGCUUCCUCGCAUUUGGCAGCUUGAAGACAAGGUCGUGGGGGUUGAUCUCGGUCUCGGGAGGUUUCAGUUUGAUAUUGAGAGCGAUGAAGACAUAGAGGAGGUGUUCAAAAUGGAGCCUUUCCAUUUCGACCACUGGAUGGUGUCGAUGGUUCGAUGGCAGCUAUCUAUGGACCCAACCUAUCCCUCAGAGAUCACAUUCUGGAUACGCGUCUUGGGUGUGCCUCUUUAGUGUUGGGCGGAUCCAACUUUCCGGUGUAUUGGCGAAGAGUGGAGAAUUGAGCAGGAGAACCACCAGAGAGCUGGCCGGAAAUGGCCAUAAAUGUCAAGUUUCCAAGAUAACUUACCUCUUUUAGAACUAAAAAGUAGGUAAGAUCUAGAAUUUUGAACAAA